CAGAAUAUAGCUUAAACAAAGCAUUUUGCUUACACCAAAAAAAUAUCUUUAAUAGAUUAUUCUG
rnacentral:tRNA from 1 species